GAUGAACGCUGGCGGCGUGCCUAAUACAUGCAAGUCGAGCGACCAGACGAGGAGCUUUCUCCUCUGACGUUAGCGUCGGGCGGGUGAGUAACACGUGGAUAACCUACCUAUAAGACUGGGAUUACUUCGGGAAACCUUAGCUAAUUCCGGAUAAUAUAUUUAACCGCAUGGUUCAAUAGUGUAAGACGGUUUUGCUUUCACUUAUAGCUUGUUCCGCGCCGCAUUAGCUAGUUGGUAAGGUAACGGCUUACCAAGGCAACGAUUCGUAGCCGACCUGAGAGGGUGAUCGGCCACACUGGAACUGAGACACGGUCCAGACUCCUACGGGAGGCAGCAGUAGGGAAUAUUGCGCAAUGGGCGAAAGCCUGAAGGAGCAACGCCGCGUGAGUGAUGAAGGUCUUCGGAUCGUAAAACUCUGUUAUUAGGGAAGAAAAAAUGUGGAAGUAAAUAUGCACGUCUUGACGGUACCGAAUCAGAAAGCCACGGCUAACUACGUG
rnacentral:rRNA from 1 species